CUUAUUUGAAUCACUGUACAGCUGGCAUGGAGGAAACCUCCAACCAAUGGAAGACUGGGAAGGGAACAGCUAGUACAGGCUCAGUGAGGAGAACCUCUCGUGCCAUUGGUGGCCACAUGUUGACAAUGAUAGCCUCACAAGAUAACAUCCUCAUUGGAUGAUGGUAAAACAUCUUUUAAACCAUGCCACAAAAAGAGAAGCCAGCUCUGCUUAGGCACAGUGGAAAGGUAAAGGCAAGUAUACUUUUUGGAUCAUCCAAG